UACGUAGGGUCCGAGCGUUGUCCGGAAUUACUGGGCGUAAAGAGCUCGUAGGUGGUUUGUCGCGUUGUUCGUGAAAACUCACAGCUCAACUGUGGGCGUGCGGGCGAUACGGGCAGACUGGAGUACUGCAGGGGAGACUGGAAUUCCUGGUGUAGCGGUGGAAUGCGCAGAUAUCAGGAGGAACACCGGUGACGAAGGCGGGUCUCUGGGCAGUAACUGACGCUGAGGAGCGAAAGCGUGGGGAGCGAACAGG
rnacentral:rRNA from 1 species